CCGUGUGCGGGAAAAGGCCUCGGGUAAAAACCGAUUUUGGCAGGAACGAAAAUGACGGUACCUGCAGAAGAAGGUGCGGCCAACUACGUGCCAGCAGCCGCGGUGACACGUAGGCACCAAGCGUUGUCCGGAUUUAUUGGGCGUAAAGAGCUCGUAGGCGGUUCAGUAAGUCGGGUGUGAAAACUCAGGGCUUAACCCUGAGACGCCACUCGAUACUGCUGGGCUAGAAUUCGGUAGGGGAGUGGGGAAUUCCUGGUGUAGCGGUGAAAUGCGCAGAUAUCAGGAGGAACACCGGUGGCGAAGGCGCCACUCUGGGCCGAUAUUGACGCUGAGGAGCGAAAGCGUGGGUAGCAAACAGGAUUAGAUACCCUGGUAGUCCACGCCGUAAACGGUGGGCACUACGUGUGGGUUCCAACCAACGGGAUCCGUGCCGUCGCACACGCAUUAAGUGCCCCGCCUGGGGAGUACGGCCAAAAGGUUAAAACUCAAAGGAAUUGACGGGG
rnacentral:rRNA from 1 species